UGAAGACUGUUCCUCCUAUGGCCCUUGGGCCUGGCACUAGGACUUUAGGUCAUCAUAAAUUAAAAUUUGACUUUCUUCACUCAGAGGAGAUAAGGAUAAUGGGAUUAUCUAUGCUGAGAUUUGCAGAAUCAAACACUU
ensembl:snoRNA